rnacentral:rRNA from 1 species
AAUGAACGCUGGCGGCAUGCCUUACACAUGCAAGUCGAACGGCAGCAUGACCUAGCUUGCUAGGUUGAUGGCGAGUGGCAAACGGGUGAGUAAUGCAUCGGAACGUGCCUUUUAGUGGGGGAUAACGUAGCGAAAGUUACGCUAAUACCGCAUAUUCUCUGAGGAGGAAAGCAGGGGACCUUCGGGCCUUGCGCUAGAAGAGCGGCCGAUGUCGGAUUAGCUAGUUGGUGAGGUAAAGGCUCACCAAGGCAACGAUCCGUAGCGGGUCUGAGAGGAUGAUCCGCCACACUGGGACUGAGACACGGCCCAGACUCCUACGGGAGGCAGCAGUGGGGAAUUUUGGACAAAGGGCGCAAGCCUGAUCCAGCCAUGCCGCGUGAGUGAAGAAGGCCUUCGGGUUGUAAAGCUCUUUCGGCUGGGAAGAAAUCGCACCCUCUAAUACAGGGUGUGGAUGACGGUACCAGCAUAAGAAGCACCGGCUAACUACGUG